AGUCCAAGAUCAUCCCAAUGACGAAAAUGUUAAUGCUAUACUUGUAUGACUCAAUUGGAAAAACAAGCCACGACACAGCAAAACUACUGGGACAGAACAUGGUGUCAAAUAUGCAAAACAAGUUUGACACCACGGACAGCCAAACUGCAUAGACCCUGUCAACACUGCUGGAUCCUAGAUUCAAAACUAUUUGAUUCUACAAUCAAGUACAGGCAGUGGCAUCAGUUAAACGACUGACAGCAUUUUGCACACAACUGAGGAAAAAUGCACAACCUGACACACCUACAGAAGAACAGCCCUCCACAUCAGCUCAACCAGCACCAGCAAAUGCUGACAAUCCAUCAUCCACAGGUCUUAACCUUUGGGAAACUCUGGACAGAGAUGCUUCUGAAGCGAGGACGGCAAGGAAUGCCACAGCAGAUGCUACAGUGGAGGUGCAGCGGUACAUGACUGAUACUGGGUGGACCAUCAAAAUGUGUAUCCCAAUCUGUUCAAACUGGCGAAACAAUUGUUAUGCAUGCCAGCAUCAUCGGUUCCAUCUGAGCGAGUGUUUUCAAAAUGCAGGGAAAUUGUAAGCAAGAAAAUAAAUCGGCUCAAUCCAAAAACUGUUGAAAAAA